rnacentral:rRNA from 1 species
CGCCUCUUGCUAUAUGAAGUAUAAGAGGUCCCGCCUGCCCUGUGACAAAAGUUUAACGGCCGCGGUAUUCUAACCGUGCGAAGGUAGCGUAAUCACUUGUUUUUUAAAUGGAGACCAGUAUGAAUGGCAUCACGAGGGCUUGACUGUCUCCCUUCUUUAGUCAAUGAAAUUGACCUUCCCGUGCAGAGGCGGGAAUAAAUAUAUAAGACGAGAAGACCCUGUGGAGCUUUAGACCUAAAGUAAAUCACAUUUAACAUGCUAAAAUAACAGUAAAAAUCUAGUGAAAAUUAUUGAAGUGUCUUUGGUUGGGGCGACCAUGGGGUAAAACAUAACCCCCAUACGGACUGGGGAUAUAAUCCCUAAUACCCAGAGCCUCCGCUCCAAGUAACAGAAUUUCUGACCUUACGAUCCGGUUACCCGAUUAACGAACCGAGUUACCCCAGGGAUAACAGCGCAAUCCCCUCCCAAAGCCCUUAUCGACGAGGGGGUUUACGACCUCGAUGUUGGAUCAGGACAUCCUAAUGGUGCAGCCGCUAUUAAGGGUUCGUUUGUUCAACGAUUAAAGUCCU